AGGACCUGAGCGCGUCACUUCCGGCGCGUCCACCGGGACUCGCACACGGGGCUGGUGUUGGCUCGCACAAGUCGGUUCCUGCCCGAUCGAUCGGUCCCAGGAGGGACUGACAGUUAGGGCUGUCUGUUCAGCGUGGUGCAGAGAAACAUGUAGUGUCCAGUUGCAUGCCUCGCCUGCCCCGAUUGCUUCGGUUUAUAAGAUGUGGUAAUGGAACGCCCUUUGUUUUCUUUAGGGCCCUGCGUGGGACUGAGUGGGAAACACUAACAUCAUCCUCACAACUUACAGGUUUUGGCUUUGCUGUGCUCCAGUGGAUCUUGGUAACACUUCCCAGAUCAUUCAACGGCAGAGUCACAGUGGUGAACAGUUCAGGACUUCCCUAAGCCCAGUAUCCCAGCUGAGAUGGGGGGUGGGGGAGGUGCGGUGAGGCUGCCUAUUUAAGCUCAUAUGGUAAACAGAUUUCACUUCUGGGCCCUAUUCGGUGCCCCAGUUCUCACAUUAUUGUACUCUUUUGGCGGUGGUGGUGAUUUCAAUAUUUGAUGGACCUAGGCCUCCUAAACAUAGGCUCUGCUGCACCUUGUUGGGGAGACAGAGAUCUGAAUUAGGCACUGGUGCUGCACUGUGCAUUCAACCUUAACAAAUCAACAUAACACCAAGUGUGGUGAUACUUUGUGUCUUCUGCAAGGUUACAUAAUGGUCAGCUGACAAAAUGAGACCAGAGUUUCUCAAGAACCAGAGUGAUUCUGCUCAAGAACAACAGCUCAGCCUGGUGGUGGUGGCGCACGCCUUUAAUCCCAGCACUCAGGAGGCAGAGACAGGCGGAUCUCUGUGAGUUCGAGGCCAGCCUGGUCUACAGAGCUAGUUCCAGGAUAGGCUCCAAAACAAUACAGAGAAAGCCUGUCUUGAAAAAACCAAAAAAAAAAAAAAAACAACAUUUCCUAAUUCAGUGUUUGUGGUGACUUUCUUGAACAUAAAGGACCCAAAUAGCAAGAAUGGUGUCUGUUAACAGGACAGGACUGUCACUCACCAACUGCUGAACAAACGUGUUUAUCAUCAUGGCACCAGUUCAUCACUGGUUCAUUCUACUCUGGGUCCCUGUUUCUCUUUGAGUUUUAGUAAAUUGCCCAGAAAACUAGGCAAACUUCAGCUUC